rnacentral:lncRNA from 1 species
UCUCUCUCUCUCUCUCUCUCUCUCUGUGUGUGUUUGAGCCUGUGCACAUGAUACCCCAUAAUUUCAAUCUUUGCAAAGCUGCUUGCAUUUGCGAUCCUCACCCACCCAUCCGAACUUCCCCCCAGCCCUCACCCUCUCUUUCUUCCCGCCAAACUAUUCGCUUCGAGGUUAUACUUCAAACGAUGCUGUUGAACCUUCCAAUCACCUUCCUCCUCUUUUGUAAGCUAUGUUGCAAAACCAGGCAGCCCUAGCGACUGAGGUUGUUGCGAAUAUAAUCUAUUAGCCCCAUUCAAAUCCAGCCGAAUAUGAAAUCCGACGGUAUACGUACAAAAGAAAGGAAGAUCGAAAUUCUUAUGUUUUCUCCGUUGAGACUGGCGAUAACAAACUUCCUUGGUGUCUGUACCUCAGCCUAAAGGAAGAAACUUACCACAUGUUGGAGACAGGAGAGUUAUCCGUAAAUAUGGUGCACGGGCAAUAUCUCGUGCCAUUCACUAUGCCGCGGCCGGUUAAUUUAAAUUAAUUUUACAGAUUGACAUGGGGC